CCUACGGGAGGCAGCAGUAAGGAAUAUUGGUCAAUGGACGAAAGUCUGAACCAGCCAUGCCGCGUGAAGGAUUAAGGCCCUCUGGGUUGUAAACUUCUUUUAUCUGGGACGAAAAAAGGGUAUUCUUACUCACUUGACGGUACCAGAGGAAUAAGCACCGGCUAACUCCGUGCCAGCAGCCGCGGUAAUACGGAGGGUGCAAGCGUUAUCCGGAUUUACUGGGUUUAAAGGGUGCGUAGGUGGGCUUGUAAGUCAGUGGUGAAAUCUCCGGGCUUAACCCGGAAACUGCCAUUGAUACUAUAGGUCUUGAAUUAUCUGGAGGUAAGCGGAAUAUGUCAUGUAGCGGUGAAAUGCUUAGAUAUGACAUAGAACACCAAUUGCGAAGGCAGCUUACUACGGAUGCAUUGACACUGAGGCACGAAAGCGUGGGGAUCAAACAGGAUUAGAUACCCUGGUAGUCACGCCCUAAACGAUGGAUACUCGACAUCAGCGAUACACUGUUGGUGUCUGNGNGAAGANAUAGUAUCCACCUCGGAGAGAUCNCAGAUAGAACACGAAGAAGUAGAGCGUGAGACGAGCGACGGACGACGACGAGGGAGGAGG
rnacentral:rRNA from 1 species